AUUGAACGCUGGCGGCAGGCCUAACACAUGCAAGUCGAACGAGUGGCGGACGGGUGAGUAAUAUCUGGGAAACUGCCUGAUGGAGGGGGAUAACUACUGGAAACGGUAGCUAAUACCGCAUACCUUCAGAUGUGCCCAGAUGGGAUUAGCUUGUUGGUGGGGUAACGGGUCACCAGGGCGACGAUCCCUAGCUGGUCUGAGAGGAUGACCGGCCAAACGGGAACGGAGACACGGUCAAGACUCCUACGUGAGGCAGCAGGGGGGAAGAUUGGACAAUGGGCGCAAGCGUGAUGCAGCCAUGCCGCGUGGAUGAGUAGGGCCUUCGGGUUGUAAAGUACUUACAGCGGGGAGGCGUUACCUGCAGAAGAAGCACCGGCUAACUCCGUGCCAGCAGCCGCGGUAAUAC
rnacentral:rRNA from 1 species